GACGAACGCUGGCGGCGUGCUUAACACAUGCAAGUCGAACGGAAAGGCCCUGCUUUUGUGGGGUGCUCGAGUGGCGAACGGGUGAGUAACACGUGAGUAACCUGCCCUUGACUUUGGGAUAACUUCAGGAAACUGGGGCUAAUACCGGAUAGGAGCUCCUGCUGCAUGGUGGGGGUUGGAAAGUUUCGGCGGUUGGGGAUGGACUCGCGGCUUAUCAGCUUGUUGGUGGGGUAGUGGCUUACCAAGGCUUUGACGGGUAGCCGGCCGGAGUGGGUGCGCGGCAACAUGGGGGCGGAGAUACGCCCCAGUCGCGAAGGGGGGGAAGGGGGGGGAAAUAUGACAGAGGGGGGGGAAGCUGGAUGCAAACGCGCCGGGGGCGGAAUAGGGCCUUCGGGGUGGAAAACACCUUGCGCUUGAAAGAAGGGGUGAGUGAGGGAAAUGGAAAAAAAGGCCCGGGCAAAGUAGGUG
rnacentral:rRNA from 1 species